rnacentral:rRNA from 1 species
UUAAAUAGUAAUUUUAAUUCUUAUUAGUGUAAGUUAAGUUCUUUAAAUUAAAAAAAUUUGGCAGUAAUUUAGUCUUUUCAGAGGAAUCUGUUCUAUAAUUGAUAAUCCACGAUAAAAUUUACUUAUUUUAAGUUUGUAUAUCGUUGUAUAAGAAUAUUUUUGGAAAAUUUUAAAUAUUCUAUUUAUAUUAUAAUAUUAAAAUUCAAAUCAAGGUACAGCUUAUAAAUGAGAAGAAAUGGAUUACAUUUAUUAAUAUUUAUGAAUUAAAAUUUUUAAGGUUUUAUGAAAUUGGAUUUGAAAGUAAUUUUAUAAAUUUUUUUAAAAUGAUUAAGCUCUAAAUUAUGU